GUGCCCACCUCGGCAGCACAUGGACUAAAACUGGAACGAUGCCGAGUUGAUUAGCACGGCCCCUGUGCAAGGAUGACACGCAAAUUUGUGAAGCAUUCAACCCCUCC
ensembl:snRNA U6 U6 spliceosomal RNA